AAAAAAAAAUCGUAUUUAUCCCUCCGUGCUAAAAGUAAACUACCAUAUUCUUUUAUAUUCAUUUCCCUACCAAAUAUAAAGAUCGUAACAAUUUUAUCUUUUAUGCUUAAUAAAGUAAAAAAAAAUUAUUAAUAUAUGAUUCUGUUUUAUAUAUAUAUAUAUAUAUAUAUGCUACUAUACUAUCAAUAGUACCAAGCUUUUAGUACUAUUGAAUUUUCGGCCGUUGGAUGAAAGAAUGUGCGGUUAGAAUGAUAGUGGUCCCGGCUAAAUUGAUAGUGGUCCCCUAGGGUUGAGUGGGUGGUUAGUUUAAUAGUAUAAUCUAACGGUAGAAAACUCAAUAGUACCAAGGGCUUGGUACUAUCGAUAGUAUAGUAGCCGGACUAUAUAUAUAUAUAUAUAUUAGACUGGAAUACUAUUUUUUUUGAGAAAUAGGUAGCAAGCUACCUGCUUUAUUCAUUAAGUCAAAUGAACUGAGCGUACAAGUUGGAAGCAGCUUAGGCCUCCGAGAAAAUGGCAAAAAGUGUGAAAAGCGAAAAGAAGAGGCAGGGUAAAAAAAGAAAGAGGGACAGGGGGAGGAGGUGGCGCAGGAGUGACAUCAAAGGAUUGUGGUCCAAUUGGUGAUCAGUAGUUUGACACGUUCA
rnacentral:lncRNA from 1 species